ACCUGGGUGGCUUAGUCAGUUAAGCAGCUGACUUCAGCUCAGGUCAUGAUCUCAUGGUUCGUGGGUUCAAGCCCCACAUCGGGCU
rfam:Felis catus isolate Cinnamon breed Abyssinian chromosome X, whole genome shotgun sequence.